UUCUCCAGAUGUUCUCCAGGUGUUCUCCAGGUGUUCUCCAGGUGUUCUCCCGUCCCGAAAUCCCCCUUCGGCAGCGCCCGCCACACCGCCGUAAAGCGACGCGUCCUUACGUCGCAACCCCGCACGCCACGCCGCCGUAAAGCGAGCACUCGCGACAACAUGGCGCCGCGCCGCCCGCCUCGGUGUAUCCCAUCACGCCCCGCGCGCCGCCCAGCCGCCGCGGCGCGCCCGCUGCGUGCCUCGGUGUAUCCCAGCGUGCCCCGCGGCGCCGCCAUUCCCGGCAGCCCCCGCGCCGCCCUCAGCAGCCGCCGCCGCCGCCGCUCCGGUGGGUACCGGGAUCGGGGGGAGGAGAUCCCACCGGGAUCGGGAUCGCCGGGAAGGCCCCGGGAUCCGUCGGGACCGCGCUGAGCUCCGGUGUCGCCCCGCAGGUCCCGGAUCCCCCCGCGCCGAGCUGAGGAAAUGCACGGGCGGCUCAAGCUCCGCCCCCCGGACGCGGCGCGGCGCCGGCAGCGCGAGGAGAAACUGAGGCACUACCGGGAGGCCAUGGAGGCGCUGCUGGGGGGGGCGCCGCCCGCCCAGG